UUGAAAUUAAUGUGCUGGUAUAAUUAAGGUGCUUUUUAAAGGUAUCAGAAAGUGAAAACAUGGCGCCAGAUAACGAGUAGGAGUUCCAGCCCACAAGCUGGAAUGUGGAUGAUCACCCCGGGUCCCCACGUGCUGAAGGCUACCGGUGGUUGGUGGUGGUGGUGGUGGUCCCGUUGCUCUCUCUCCCAUCUUGUGUGUCCUUUGGGGAAGGGGGAGGGGAGAAGGGUGAAAGAAUUACUUCCAGGGCACAUCAACUCGUUUCCUCAUCACCCUAACUGCCUCUCCGGCACCACUUCCCAGCCCCUCCACAGGCUGCCAACGGUCCCACCGCCGAGCCCGCAGGGUGAACGUGUUUGUGCACAGCGCCGGACUUCUUCUGUUAGGAUCCUAUAAAGCAAACAGAAACUGGACAAGAAUAGAUGAUAGAGAAACAGAAGGUCUGAAGAUGGAUGAGCCCUGUAGACCAUGCAGGAAAAGCCCUCACAUGCACAGCAGCAGCCACCACUCCCCUGCAUGUUUCUGGCUACCACACACCUAAUCAGUCCUGAUUAGAUGCACUGUGAGGGACGAGGAAGCCAGAAGUUUCCUUUGAGAAGUUCUGAUGACAGGACAGAAGAAAGCAAUGGGCUCCCUUAAAUAAAGCCUUCAUCAGGCUCUGGGAAGAAA